AUUGAACGCUGGCGGCAGGCCUAACACAUGCAAGUCGAACGAGUGGCGGACGGGUGAGUAAUGUCUGGGAAACUGCCUGAUGGAGGGGGAUAACUACUGGAAACGGUAGCUAAUACCGCAUACCAUCGGAUGUGCCCAGUUGGGAUUAGCUGGUAGGUGGGGUAACGGCUAACCUAGGCGACGCUCCCUAGCUGGUCUGAGAGGAUGAACAGCCACACGGGAACUGAGCCACGGUCGAGAUGCCUACGGGAGGCAGCAGUGGGGAAUAUUGCACAAUGGGCGCAAGCCUGAUGCAGCCAUGCCGCGUGUAUGAAGAAGGCCGUAGGGUUGUAAAGUACUUUCAGCGGGGAGGCGUUACCCGCAGAAGAAGCACCGGCUAACACCGUGCCAGCAGCCGCGGUAAUUC
rnacentral:rRNA from 1 species